rnacentral:lncRNA from 1 species
UUUUUUUUUUUUUUUUUUUUUAUCCCUCCCCUCCCCUCGCCCCAGGUAAUUGUAAUGUGCAGCCAGGAUUGAGAAUCACCAUUCUAGAUAUUACCACUUAAUUGGGACUCUCCAGGGAGUCAUGGCUUAGUCCUCACUACUUAUGGAACUCUUGGCUGAAGCCUUUCUAAUCUCUGUCAGUCAGUCUUACCAGACAAACGUCAGCCACUCAAGAUUUGAAACAGGCGAAAGGUAACGCAGGGAACUGGUUAGCUGGAUGAAAGAACCGAAGAGCCAACAGAAGACAAUGAGGUAAUACAAACAUCAGCAACAGUAGGAAGCCACAAGUCUACCCUGGUGGCAGGAGAUCUGGACGGGGAUCCAGAGAUCAGUUGUUGGGCAGAAGCUAGGAUUUCAGUGGGUCUGUCUGGAGGGAUCUGGAAUCUGGAGGAGAUGCAUCCUUCCUGGCACUACCUCCUGAAAAGAGGGAGCAGGGAAAUAGCCUGGCUUCUCUCUGUUCUGCUCCAGGUUCCCACGAGUGUCCUUCCAUUGGCCAAACACAGUGUCAAAUCAGUUUGACAGAGGGAGGGAUUGAGUCCUCACCCAGAAAUACAGAGCAGAGUAGAGGAAGGGCAAGAACUGGAUCUCAGGUCAAAUGGGCUCAGGCCAGACCUAGGCCCAGGCCUAACAGGCCACUGGCAAGGAAUUCUGUCUACCACCCACCUCAAAAGCACUCCUCCUCCUCUUUUUCCCAAGACAUUGAACAUACUCUCAUCAUGGGUUUGUGCUUUUACCAAAAAGCAAGAUAAAACAAAAAAUAAAAGUAACCAGUGAUAGCUAAAGCAGGAAAAACUGUAGAAACAUUUGCGUUCUGGCUCUAAUAAACUGAUAAGCAAGAAACUCUCACAAAUAGAGAGACAGGUAGAAUUUGGUUUGCUUUGUGUAGGGGAGGGUAGAGGGGCACAAUGAAAUUCUAGCACCUAAGUUCUCCUCCUCCUGCCAAGACCAACCCUUGUUGUAAAGAAAUGCUUCACACUUCUCUGAAGACACUAGUAGCUACAAGCUCGUGUAGUGUGUUUAUCCUGAGUACGUGUGAACAUCUCACAAGUGGUAGAUCAUAAACUUUGAUUGGUCAUAUUUAUUGAGACUUACCAUGUGCCAAGUACUAUGCUAAACCCUUUGUGACUCUAAUUGCAAUGACUCCUGUCAACAGUCUUGUAAGUUUAGUGGAUACUAAUCUCCAGUUUACAAAUGAGGGAUUUGAGGCUCAGAGGAGUUAGGUAAUGGGAUCAAAAUUACACAGCUGGCAAGCAAUAGAGCUGUGAUUGAAACCCAGGUUGGUAAAGUCUGGAUUUUCAGAGAAAAUAAAGGCAUCUGGAAGAGAACUUGCACAAACCCUCACUAUGGAAUCCUCUAAGUACC